rnacentral:tRNA from 1 species
GUCUGGCUGGUUUGGUUGGUGGAGCAUGUGACUCUUAAUCUCAGGGUCUUGAGUUCAAGUCUCACGUUGGACG